rnacentral:rRNA from 1 species
UACGGGGGGGGCAAGCGUUGUUCGGAAUUACUGGGCGUAAAGGGCUCGUAGGCGGCCAACUAAGUCAGACGUGAAAUCCCUCGGCUUAACCGGGGAACUGCGUCUGAUACUGGAUGGCUUGAGAUUGGGAGAGGGAUGCGGAAUUCCAGGUGUAGCGGUGAAAUGCGUAGAUAUCUGGAGGAACACCGGUGGCGAAGGCGGUCUCUGGGCAUUACCUGACGCUGAGGCACGAAAGCGUGGGGAGCAAACAGG